AAUUGCACCGAGAAGAGUUUGAUCAUGGCUCAGAUUGAACGCUGGCGGCAGGCCUAACACAUGCAAGUCGAACGGUAACAGGAAACAGCUUGCUGUUUCGCUGACGAGUGGCGGACGGGUGAGUAAUGUCUGGGAAACUGCCUGAUGGAGGGGGAUAACUACUGGAAACGGUAGCUAAUACCGCAUAACGUCGCAAGACCAAAGAGGGGGACCCUCGGGCCUCUUGCCAUCGGAUGUGCCCAGAUGGGAUUAGCUUGUUGGUGGGGUAACGGCUCACCAAGGCGACGAUCCCUAGCUGGUCUGAGAGGAUGACCAGCCACACUGGAACUGAGACACGGUCCAGACUCCUACGGGAGGCAGCAGUGGGGAAUAUUGCACAAUGGGCGCAAGCCUGAUGCAGCCAUGCCGCGUGUAUGAAGAAGGCCUUCGGGUUGUAAAGUACUUUCAGCGGGGAGGAAGGGAGUAAAGUUAAUACCUUUGCUCAUUGACGUUACCCGCAGAAGAAGCACCGGCUAACUCCGUGCCAGCAGCCGCGGUAAUACGGAGGGUGCAAGCGUUAAUCGGAAUUACUGGGCGUAAAGCGCACGCAGGCGGUUUGUUAAGUCAGAUGUGAAAUCCCCGGGCUCAACCUGGGAACUGCAUCUGAUACUGGCAAGCUUGAGUCUCGUAGAGGGGGGUAGAAUUCCAGGUGUAGCGGUGAAAUGCGUAGAGAUCUGGAGGAAUACCGGUGGCGAAGGCGGCCCCCUGGACGAAGACUGACGCUCAGGUGCGAAAGCGUGGGGAGCAAACAGGAUUAGAUACCCUGGUAGUCCACGCCGUAAACGAUGUCGACUUGGAGGUUGUGCCCUUGAGGCGUGGCUUCCGGAGCUAACGCGUUAAGUCGACCGCCUGGGGAGUACGGCCGCAAGGUUAAAACUCAAAUGAAUUGACGGGGGCCCGCACAAGCGGUGGAGCAUGUGGUUUAAUUCGAUGCAACGCGAAGAACCUUACCUGGUCUUGACAUCCACGGAAGUUUUCAGAGAUGAGAAUGUGCCUUCGGGAACCGUGAGACAGGUGCUGCAUGGCUGUCGUCAGCUCGUGUUGUGAAAUGUUGGGUUAAGUCCCGCAACGAGCGCAACCCUUAUCCUUUGUUGCCAGCGGUCCGGCCGGGAACUCAAAGGAGACUGCCAGUGAUAAACUGGAGGAAGGUGGGGAUGACGUCAAGUCAUCAUGGCCCUUACGACCAGGGCUACACACGUGCUACAAUGGCGCAUACAAAGAGAAGCGACCUCGCGAGAGCAAGCGGACCUCAUAAAGUGCGUCGUAGUCCGGAUUGGAGUCUGCAACUCGACUCCAUGAAGUCGGAAUCGCUAGUAAUCGUGGAUCAGAAUGCCACGGUGAAUACGUUCCCGGGCCUUGUACACACCGCCCGUCUCCCAUAGUGAAACGUGACACUCGCACUGACUCGAUCA
rnacentral:rRNA from 1 species